UCUCUCUGAAUCUGCGAACGGCUCCGCAAACCAGUUGUAAACCAAAGCAAGCAUACUCGGGGACUGCCCUUCACGGGGUGGGCUCGGGUGAUACGGAUAACCCUGGUAAUUCUGAGGCUAAUACGAGACUAUAAUCCCUGGCGGACCGGGCAACUGGGAAGCUGGGGGGCGUGCGAUCUAUUUGCAAGACGAUACCAGGAGGGGGUGCACGCUCUGACCGCGAUAAAGACGGUUCCGGUAAACCUUCGGGCGAGCUGGUUCCGAGCGGCUCUUGCGAUGUGCUUCUGACCUAUCAACUAGAUGGCAGCGUAACGGACAUGCCAUGGUUACAACGGGUACAGAGGAUUAGGGUUCGAUCCUGGAGAGUGGGCCUGAGAGAUU
rnacentral:rRNA from 1 species